rnacentral:lncRNA from 12 species
GGAGGCCGGGACGGGUAAGAGGAACAGAAAGCAGAGGAAGUUGCUGAGCCAGAGCCAAGAAGAGGGGACAGGCUGGGGCGGAAGAGCCUCCCCUGCUCAUGCUGCUUCUGGCCGACGGUGCUGGCGUGCGGGGGCGCUCCAGCUGGACGGUCUUACGCAGUGCACGCCCAGGCAAUGUGUGACUGGUCAUUCAGUUCUUGGAGACAAGACUCAGCCUGGAAAAAUGGAUUUUUAAGGCUGCCCAGGGACGCGAUGCGUUUCAGGAAUGCCGAGGGGGCAGCUUAAUCGGACUGUUCCUGAGUUUCUUUUUUUGGAGCCAUCUACUUUUGUUGCUAAAAUUACACUUGGCUAUCCUGAACUUGGUUCAAUUAUAAUUCUCACUUCUGAAGAUUUAUUUCCUCAAAAAAAAAAAAAAGAAAGAAAGAAAGAAAGAAAGAAAAGAAAAAAGAAGAAAGAGAAAAAGGAACAAAAAAAAAACAAAAAAAAAGAAAAGAAAAAGGUAAAAAAAAAAAAAAAAAAAAAAAAAAACACCCUGGUCUCUGAAGCAGCAUGGAGAUGUUUCUGCUCCUCCUNNNNNNNNNNAAAAAAAUCCCCCCUGUUUUUUGAAGCGCCAUGGAGAUGUUUUGGCUCCUCCUCAGAAGACCCUGGGGGAGCCGGGCCCCCGAGGCCCCCCCCCCCCCCCCGCUCACCCCCAGGGACCCUCCAGAGGGCACAGCAGGGACCUCCCUGUGGCUCUUUCAAAGGAAUUAAUAAAAUAACAGAUACUUGAUGGAAUGGAGUCACAAUCUCUGUUGGGUAAAUGUGCUUCUUCUCUUACUCGUGAUCCCUUUCAAAGAAAAACAGCAGAACUGGGAAAGGAGUUCAUGAGACUGCUUCUGCAGGAUGCAGGGGAGAUUGGAAGACAGAUCACACAGCCCUCUGUCUCGUGCUCCCGGAGCCCGGGGGAGAGCCGCGUCCUGGGGGCCUGCUGUGCCCUGUGCACACACCUCUGCACGCCGACGUCCGGGCCACUGCGCACAGGUUGCUCUCUUUAUUCCAGAGUGGGAAUCCGAGGUCGGACGGAGGUCAGCAUCAGCUGCGGAGGGGCCGACUGAACUCCAGCCCGGUCCGGGGAGGGCUCCAGCCCCGCACCGUGUUGCUUCACAGCGCAAAGUCCUAGCUCGAUGUUUCCGGGGUGGUCGUGCAAGGAGACCCCUGAAAGCAGAUUGUGCGUUAGUGAGUCUGUGAAUCAGAGCUCGCAGCCCCCUUUGUUAGACACCACCAUGUGCAUCACUAUUUCAAGAGCCGAUUAAAAAAAUCAGUCAAUUUUAUCUUUCACAUUAUCAUUCUUAUUAAAAUAUUUUAUUUAUUUAUUUGAGAGAGAGAGAGAGAGAGAGCAUGAACAGGGGUGUAGUGGGUAGGGGCAGAGGGAGGGAGAACAAGACUCCCCACUGAGCAGGGAACCCGACUCGAGACUCGAUCCCAGGACCCUGAAAUCAUGAUCCAAGCCCAAGGCAGAUGCUUCACCAACGGAACCACCCAGGGGCG